AACGGUAUGCAAACUUUAAUAAAUAAAUCUAUUGUUUUCUGCAUAUCAGAUAAACAAACCUUGAAAAGUUGGCCUCCAGUGUGAGCAUCUACUGCGCUGAAAGGAUCAUCAAAGAGGAGGUAUUGUGCUACUCGAUCAACUGAAACUUUUCCCUGAGCAAACACCGAAAGUAAAUCGGGAAUUGUGAAUAUUGGAUCUUGUAACAUCCGGAA